GUAAGUUACAGAUUUAUUGCUCAGCCAUUCUUAGCCCUGAUGCUCUUCAGAAACUCACUGCUUUAUGAACCCAGGUCCCCGAGACACCUUCCAUUUGAUCCACAUCUGUCCAAAGAUGAAGUCAUGAAAUAUGAUAAGUAUUUCUUCUGAAGUUCAUGCAAAGAACAAAAACCAAAGAUACAAUCCAAGCUCCUUCCCCUUUGAGCUUAGAUAAAUGUGUCUUUUGAAUUGAGAUAAUAGCCCAGACCCUUUCUCACCCACCUCUGCCUCAUCUACAGGACAGUAACAACACUCUCUCAGAGCCUUCAAGGCAAAGGGGAGAAGAACAUUCUGCUGACCUGCAAGACCGAAGGUCAAGGAACAGACUUUCCUUGGAUUCCCUUGACCCAGAGUUUCUUCACUAGCUCUGCAGUUUUAGACAAGAACAAUGGCAGGGAAGGAUUCUCCCUUCUCUCAAAGACCUACUUGGGAUGGCAGGACACAGUGUGAGGCUGCGGACAAGAUCACCAGUGUCCAGCACUUUCUCAUCACAGCAUGUUGGGGGUCUCUGGCUGCAGAGAGCUUGACGUCAUAGUUAGGACAUUUUUUGGUGGCAAGGAACAGAGGCCAAUUCAAGGUAGCCAGGUGAGUGAUGGUGCUGUAGGGAGAUCUCCUUUGGGGAGAGCAGAACUGAGAGCUUACAUUGUUACUGGGAGCCCUGGGAGCAACCUCUUCACAUCUUUACAUUCUGAUUUCUCCAUCCUCUCUUCACGCAUCCCACCCAGCACACUUAUUCUGCCUGGCUGGUGGGAAAUGGUGGCCCACAGUGCCCAGGUUCUUCGUUCAGAUUUACAGUCACCUACAGAGACUGGUUCUUCCUCACUCCCACCUCCAAAGUCCUGGGGUCUAGGAAUGACUCUGUCAGGGUUAGAUGUGACCAGCAUCCCAGCCAGAAGUGUGGGGUUGAAUCGUGCAAUUGAGGGUUGCAGGUAAGUCCUGUGCAUAAGGUGGGGUGGCGGGUGUCAGAUUGGGGGUCACUGUGAACCAGUACACACCCUGAAAUCAGGCUGCAAGCUCGGAAGGAAAAUGGGGUCUGCAGAAGGAGAGUGUUCUCUGGAAAUGAGAGUUGGGGCUUCUUGGGCCCCCUUGUGGGUCACAGCUAUGGGAUUUAACCUCAUGUGGGAUACAUUGUCAAAGAAAGGGCCCUAGCUAAUAUUUCUUGGUAAGUUUUCAUCCUUCAAUUCUCUGCAGUUUAAUACCUCCAAACACAUAUUUCUGAGUUACAGUGUUUAUUUAGAAACCUCACAGAGCCUUUGGGAGGCCGAGGCGUGUGGAUCAUGAGGUCAGGAGAUGGAGACCCUCCUGGCCAACACAGUGAAAUGCCGUCUCUACUAAAAAUACAAAAAAU
rnacentral:lncRNA from 1 species